AGAAUGUUAACAUAUGAAGAAAAUGACAUCAUAAACCUCAAAUAUUACAUUGGAUUGUCAUACAAAGAUAACUUUUUAUAAGCAAGAUUUAUACUAGGCCACGAAAUGGUCACAUCCAUUAAGAAACUAUUCAUCCUUGAGGACAGAGCUCUUCAUUCACAAACCAGAGUAUAACUUUCCAAGCAGCUGAGGAUACCCCCAUGGACAUGGUCUCCUUCAGCUUUAUUAAUGCUAAUUGUAGGGGAUUUCAGAGCAACAAAAACUUGCACUGGAAACACGUUUGGAUCAAGAAAUUGGACACAAAUAAAAGCUCAUAUGUACCACAAGCCCUGACUCAAUCUGGAGCCAAGUGGUUUGCCUCGGCGAGCUCAUUUAACCCUUGCCACUGCCCCUGGAGGCAGGUACAUGCC
rnacentral:lncRNA from 1 species